AAUGAACGUUGGCGGCGUGGAUUAGGCAUGCGAGUCGUGCGAGAACCGUAGCAAUACGGGGACAGCGGCGAAAGGGAGAGGAACACGUGGAUACCUACCCUCAGGUUCAGGAUAGCUAUGGGAAACUAUAGGUAAUACUGAAUAAUAUCUCCGGAUCAAAGGUGUGAUUCCGCCGGAGGAGGGGUCCGCGUCCUAUUAGCUAGUUGGUGAGGUAAUGGCUCACCAAGGCGAAGAUGGGUACGGGAUGUGAGAACAUGAUCCCGCUCAUUGGGACUGAGACACUGCCCAGACACCUACGGGUGGCUGCAGUCGAGAAUCUUCGGCAAUGGGGGAAACCCUGACCGAGCGACGCCGCGUGUGAGAUGAAGGCCUUCGGGUUGUAAAUCACUGUCGUAGAGGAGGAAGUGUAGGU
rnacentral:rRNA from 1 species